UACGAAGGGGGCUAGCGUUGCUCGGAAUGACUGGGCGUAAAGGGCGCGUAGGCGGUUUGUACAGUCAGAUGUGAAAUUCCCGGGCUCAACCUGGGGGCUGCAUUUGAUACGUAUGGACUUGAGUGGGGAAGAGGGUCGUGGAAUUCCCAGUGUAGAGGUGAAAUUCGUAGAUAUUGGGAAGAACACCGGUGGCGAAGGCGGCGACCUGGUCCAUUACUGACGCUGAGGCGCGACAGCGUGGGGAGCAAACGGG
rnacentral:rRNA from 1 species